GACGAACGCUGGCGGCGUGCUUAACACAUGCAAGUCGAACGAAGAGCGAUGGAAGCUUGCUUCUAUCAAUCUUAGUGGCGAACGGGUGAGUAACGCGUAAUCAACCUGCCCUUCAGAGGGGGACAACAGUUGGGAACGACUGCUAAUACCGCAUACGAUCUAAUCUCGGCAUCGAGGAUAGAUGAAAGGUGGCCUCUACAUGUAAGCUAUCACUGAAGGAGGGGAUUGCGUCUGAUUAGCUAGUUGGAGGGGUAACGGCCCACCAAGGCGAUGAUCAGUAGCCGGUCUGAGAGGAUGAACGGCCACAUUGGGACUGAGACACGGCCCAGACUCCUACGGGAGGCAGCAGUGGGGAAUCUUCCGCAAUGGACGAAAGUCUGACGGAGCAACGCCGCGUGAGCGAUGACGGCCUUCGGGUUGUAAAGCUCUGUUAAUCGGGACGAAAGGCCUUCUUGCGAAUAGUGAGAAGGAUUGACGGUACCGGAAUAGAAAGCCACGGCUAACUACGUG
rnacentral:rRNA from 1 species